rnacentral:rRNA from 1 species
GACGAACCGAGCGAACGUUGUUCGGAAUCACUGGGCUUAAAGGGCGCGUAGGCGGGCUGUCAAGUCUGGGGUGAAAUCCCGCGGCUCAACCGUGGAACUGCCUCAGAUACUGACGGUCUCGAGGGAGGUAGGGGCGAGCGGAACUGAUGGUGGAGCGGUGAAAUGCGUAGAUAUCAUUUGGAACGCCAAUGGUGAAAACAGGUAGCUGGGGUUGUGCUGACGCUGAGACACGAAAGCCAGGGAGCAAACGGG